rnacentral:rRNA from 1 species
UACGUAGGUGGCAAGCGUUAUCCGGAUUUACUGGGUGUAAAGGGCGUGUAGGCGGGAGUGCAAGUCAGAUGUGAAAACCACGGGCUCAACCUGUGGCCUGCAUUUGAAACUGUACUUCUUGAGUACUGGAGAGGCAGACGGAAUUCCUAGUGUAGCGGUGAAAUGCGUAGAUAUUAGGAGGAACACCAGUGGCGAAGGCGGCUUUCUGGACUGAAACUGACGCUGAGGCACGAAAGCGUGGGGAGCGAACAGG